rnacentral:rRNA from 1 species
AUUGAACGCUGGCGGCAUGCUUUACACAUGCAAGUCGAACGGCAGCGCGGGCUUCGGCCUGGCGGCGAGUGGCGAACGGGUGAGUAAUACAUCGGAACGUGCCCAGUAGUGGGGGAUAGCUCGGCGAAAGCCGGAUUAAUACCGCAUACGACCUGAGGGUGAAAGCGGGGGAUCUUCGGACCUCGCGCUAUUGGAGCGGCCGAUGGCAGAUUAGCUAGUUGGUGGGGUAAAGGCCUACCAAGGCGACGAUCUGUAGCUGGUCUGAGAGGACGACCAGCCACACUGGAACUGAGACACGGCCCAGACUCCUACGGGAGGCAGCAGUGGGGAAUUUUGGACAAUGGGCGAAAGCCUGAUCCAGCAAGGCCGCGUGUGUGAUGAAGGCCUUCGGGUUGUAAAGCACUUUUGGCGGGAACGAAAAGGACUGUGCCAAUACCACGGUUCGAUGACGGUACCCGCAGAAUAAGCACCGGCUAACUACGUG